GGAGCUGCACACCGCACUCCAACCUGUCCCCGCAGAACCAUAUUCGCCCUGCAGCCGACAGGACGUGCCGGGCGUGGGUAAAGAAAUGUGGCUUUCAGGGAGUUUUCUGCCCUCUUGGCUGAGGGAAACACAGACUAUAGAAGUGUGAAAACCCCUCUGUGUUCUGCCCUUGGGUUUAAUCUUUCAGUCACCCCGACUGUUCAUUCUCUGCUUUGUUUUUUCCCACACAGGUGGCAGCGCCUUCCUGUCCCUCUCUCAAGACCUUAUAUCAGGGAAGCAGCAAAACACAUUCUUGUUUGUUACUUGCUGCAGGUGGAAAAGGGACAGAAAACGGAUGGAAAUGGCAAUAAAAGUGCUCAUCUAGUUUCUGACGAAAGCAUCUUGAAGUUCCAUUCAACUCUGUAUUGUACCUUAAGAAAAGCUGAAUAAGACAAGACCUUUUAACUUCUGGAACUCCACAGCUGCAGGAAUCUUGCACUGUGAAGCACAAGAGCUGAAACUGCGAAGUGUCCUGUUACAUGAAUGUUCCAUGGGCAAAAUGGAACUGUUGUCUGUUACUUAAGCUGCCAACAUUGCUUCUACUUGUUACCAGCUAAGAGCAGGAGGGUGAAUGCUCUCACUUUUCUGAAGAACCUGUUUACAGAACAACUUGAAAGGCUCAGGUGAACAGGACAGAUUCCAACUGUGCUGAAGGUGGCAGCACAUUCAGGCCUGCCUAGGAUGGCUGCAGGCCAGCAGUGCCUGCUGUGGGUGGGAGUUGCACAACUGGGUGCACAGAUCCUCUGUGCUCUGGAGGGGUCUUUGACCCAUGUGUCAGCAGCUGCUGCUGCUCUCUUGGAACCCGGGCCAAGCACCUUCAGGGGUUUCACCUCCUGUGCCAUCAGAGCAGGCCCCUGGCUUGUAUUGAGGAGCUGUGUGAAGGCAAAACUGGAGCCUUCCUAUGCACCCCCAGCCCUGGCACUGCUUUUAAGCCUUGGCCCGUGCAUGGGCUGCAUUGCCUGGCCCUGUACCUCACUGAUCCUGAUGUGGCUUCCCUGUGUGCUAGGGGACUGGCUCAUCCCUGCAGCAUAGGCUUACGUUUGGCAGACUCUGAUCCUUUCAACAUUGGGGCACAUGCUCCACUGUCUUUGCCUGGACCUGGUUGCCACUUUCAUUGCUGAGAGACACCUUUGGGUUAGAAAAAUGUAUUUAUUUGUAAUAUGGAGUGUUGAUGGUGCUAAUGCAUAAUUGAUAAAUGUUGUAAUUAGGCACUACAUCAAAAACAAGACUGUAUUAUUUCAAUAAUACAAAUAAUUAAUUCAAUAAUGCUCAUUACAAAUG